AGUGAACGCUGGCGGUAGGCCUAACACAUGCAAGUCGAACGGCAGCACAGUAAGAGCUUGCUCUUACGGGUGGCGAGUGGCGGACGGGUGAGGAAUACAUCGGAAUCUACUUUUUCGUGGGGGAUAACGUAGGGAAACUUACGCUAAUACCGCAUACGACCUACGGGUGAAAGCAGGGGAUCUUCGCACCUUGCGCGAUUGAAUGAGCCGAUGUCGGAUUAGCUAGUUGGCGGGGUAAAGGCCCACCAAGGCGACGAUCCGUAGCUGGUCUGAGAGGAUGAUCAGCCACACUGGAACUGAGACACGGUCCAGACUCCUACGGGAGGCAGCAGUGGGGAAUAUUGGACAAUGGGCGCAAGCCUGAUCCAGCCAUACCGCGUGGGUGAAGAAGGCCUUCGGGUUGUAAAGCCCUUUUGUUGGGAAAGAAAAGCAGCAGGUUAAUACCCCGCUGUUCUGACGGUACCCAAAGAAUAGGCACCGGCUAACUUCGUG
rnacentral:rRNA from 1 species